UUUUUAAUUUUUAGAUACUAAUUUCCUAAAAUAAAACCACCUCAAACUUUAUUUUUUCUUGAUUUCUAGGAGUAGUAUUUCUAAAGAAAAUUCUAAUGGAAAUAUAAAAACACAAAAUAUCUUUUUUGGAUUUUUGAGUUACACCACAUCUUUCAAAUAUAAAAUAAAAAGUAUAUUAACAAAAAACUUGACAUUACAGUACAAAACUAGAAAGUAAAAGACGAUAUAAAAAACAUACUCUAACCUAAAAAUAAAAAUAAAUCUCCUUAAGAAACUCCUGAAUGUGGUAAUCUUGGGGAAUCUGUCAUGCUCAAACUCCGGUAAGUAGAUCUACACCUGUAUGAGAUAACUUAAACCAACACUAUGUGAGAUAACAAUAUUCCCUAUUAGACAUAUGCAAGACAUGCUUGCGAUUAUUUUUACAAAAUGACUUAUUUAGCCAAAAGGUGGCUAAAAGUGCAAAAUUUGGCUAAGACCCUACAAAGCCAAGAACCUACGAUUUACUAGGAAGAUCGGAUCCUACGUGAGUUGCCUACGUAUCACGCCCUGAAAGACGAGAAUCGGGUUUGCGUAGUUCAGGCAAAUGAUACAGGCAAGAAUUUAAAAAACAACUAAUUUUUAGAGAAAAUAUUUUCUUUCGUCUAUUUUUUUUUAAAAAAAUGAAGAAACAUGUAAACUAUUUUUGAAUUUUCUUUUUUGUUUUGAUUUUCGAAAAAAGCUGCAAUUUUUUUUUGAAUUUUUCAUAUAUUUUUGUCUCUUUUUAAAAAAAAAAAUGUAACAAAAACAUGACUAGACUAUACUUGCUUUAUUUUCACACCUCAUCCUCUCUUUUUCUUUAUUUUUUUCUUCUUGUUUUUUUCAUUAUUUUUUAAUUUUUUUUCAUUUACCCUCAGCUAUCAUUGGUCCGUCAAAUGACCCUUUCACCCUUGAAUAAAUGCAACAUGUAGCACAUGAGAUGCAUCAGGAUGGUCUUUUAUUUUUUUUUGGAUAUACCUGUCCUAGACGGACCUAACCCCUAUGUUGAGUCCCCUAAGUCAAGUGCACAUGAUGCAAACAAACAUUCCUACUAGGGAUCUGGCAUGAGGCUGAGUUAUUCUAGGUUCAAAAUCUGGGCAUUUGUUCUAGACUUGUAUACCCGACCGGACAACUCGAGUCGAGGAGGGGGCUACAUACCGAGAACCAAAAGGCCAUCCGGCUUAGUAACUUGUCCGAGCCUCUUUCUUAUUUUAGGGCAUGACACUAACAAAAUAGGGAGUCUCGACCAACCAGCACAUCCCCGAAGAUGAGAGGAGAAUGGUUUCACGGCAGUUUAUAUACAAUUCAGAUAAUAUCAAAGCAGUAAAAAAAAUAUUUAGCACAUCAGGCCCAACACAUGUAAUAAAAUCAGAUAAUAAAUAAAGCCAAAUACAACAAUUAUUCUAAGCUCGAAUUUUUGAACCUUGAACCAUAGAUUCUGGGUUCGAUCCCCAGCAGAGUCGCCAGAUAUGUCACACCACCUUUUUCCUACACCUCACGAAGGGCGUAAAAAGGGGAGUUUUUUCCAAUUUAAGUGAUAAUUAAAACGGAAUUAUUUUAUUAAAGAUUCAGAGUCGCCACUUGGGAUUAUUUAGGGUUUCCCAAGUUACCGGUUCAAAUCCUGAAUCGAGGAAAGAUUAACUAUGUUUUUACAGUCUGCGAACACAGAAAUCCGGAUAAGAAAUUAUGUUAGCUUGGGAGAAGGUGUAAGCUAUUCCCCAGUUCCGUAGUUUUAGCACGGUCACUCAAUUGUUAUUGUUGGCCUAUUUAUGUGAUUUUAAAACAUCUUUGAAACCUAUGCAUUUUUAUUUCUUCUAAAUCGCUUUUAAUAAUUCAAUUGUUAACAGCUAAUUAUUUUAAUUACACGUCGUGAAUCAUGUCACGAGAACCGUAUCCACGAUCUACAACGUAUUUAUUUUAUUAAAAAGACUAAAUUGUGGCCGAAUCACAUAAAUGUACCCCCGAAUUUUAAAAUUAUGUAUCACAACUACGUCACGAAAACCGUACAUAUAAUCAUAAUAAUUUAUUAAUUGCACAUAAAGCAAAUUACAAUGUUCAUAAUUUAUUUUCCUAAACUAAUUUGAGAUUCAAACGAAGAGGUGCUACUGAUUUAACACAUCCUAGAAAAAUCCCAAGACUGAUGCUUAAUGUCGACCAAGAAGUAGGAGGGAAUAAAGAUAUAUAGAAGUCUAAAUUAGUAAGAGGAGGAGAUUGGCCUAAUAUGAAGCCCGUGGAAAAUAUCCUUGAUAGUGAUUAUGCAAUGGGGGUAAAAGAACACUAUAGAAAUUCUUUUAAAGUAGAGCUUGAAUACUGAAUGUAAGCUCGUACAAAAACAAUGUGUGUAUAGCAACGUGUGUGAACAGGCCAACAUCUAACAUAAACGCUAAUAAACAAUUAAUAUCUCCAAUCUUAAAUUAAAUUCCACGAACCUCACAUAAAUCCAUAUGAACAUACAUUUGACAGAUUAAACAAACAGAGGCUAUAAAAACUCAAUGAAUGACCAAACCACAAACAUAAACCAUUCGCUGAAUUAAAUAGCGCAUGAUAGGCAGUGAACCUUUAAGAAUUUUCUUCCAAAAUUAAUUCAAGGACCUUCAAUAUAUACAAUGAAGAGAAAAUCCAAUUAAACUUGAGUGGAAGCUAAGAAAACAACCUGGAUCUGAGAGCUCGACGAAUACGAAUGUGACCUCGCCGGGAAACUCGAACACGACCUCGGAGCUGUUGUUUUUUGUGCAAAGCAGCGGGCUGUUUUGGUGUUAUUUUUGAUCUCAUGUUGCUGGUUUUACACGGCUAAAAUAUGUAAUUUACAGUUGAUUUAAGGAUGGUUUCGAGGACUGAUUUGGGAGAUGGACUGCUGCAUUUUCUCUCAUCGAUUUGGGGCUGAAAAUGAGGUGAUUUGCUGGGGGUUUUGGACUGAUUUUUUCAGCAAAGUUGCCACUGAUUUUGCAGUUCUCAAACACUGGAUUUCGCGUGAUUUGGGGCAAUUUAAGGCUGGAGUUGAGUAGUGUUUUGGCUACUAAUUUGGGUGAUUUUGGGGGUUGUUUGGUAGCUUUUUUUUGUUACUCUUCUCAGUUUUUUAAAUUGUUUUUUGCUGUGGCUUUAUGAUGGAUUUGAGGUGUUUUAUGGGAUGUUUUUUAGGUGAAAAAGAUAGCUCUCAUGGCUCUUUCAUGGUAGAUCUUAAGCUCUAGAUCUAGGAUUUUUAUGAGGAAGAAGACCCUCCUUUCUUUGGUUGCGUCUAGAAAAAGAAGAUGCGCAACUUUUUUUCCUUUUCCAUCGUCUGUUUUUUUCCUCCUUUUUGUUGAUAGGUGUUAGUCCCUCUAUAUAGACUCUAUAUAGAGCCUACAGUCUAUCUCAAAAAUUACAUGUCUACAGUUAUCUUUGCUAAUUACGGUAGUUGUAUUAUUGAU
rnacentral:lncRNA from 1 species